rnacentral:lncRNA from 1 species
AUGGCUGGAGAACACUGCAUGGAGUCUCCUGAAUCACCCUUCUUUGUUCCCUCUAAACCCUUUUACAUUCCUGAUGGCCUCAUCGUUAAGAGCCUAAUGUUAUCCUCAACCACCGGGCUUUCCGACCCCCAUGGCCACACUCCCACCUCUCCCCCUUCUUUAUUAAUAUCAACCCUCUUCCCAACACGAGCCCUGGAAAGCCGGGGCGCUGCGUCCCCUCCCUGCGCCCUGAUGGGCACCCGUGCCGUGCCCUCAGGGCUUGGCGGGCAGCACCCUGGGGGAUGCUCAUCCCCUGAUGUGCCGGGAGGGGCAGGCACGGCCAGGACUACGUUUCCCAGCGGCAAUUUCCAGGGGCUGCACAUGCUCCUUGCGGCUGCACGGCUGCUCCCAGCAGCUCCCGGUGCGGCUCCCGGUGCGGCUCCCGGUGCGGCUCCCGGUGCAGCCCCAUCGCGGGCGCACGGGGCUCCGUGGGGAGCGCACAUCCGACCCCCGGGGGCGAGCCCUGCCUGGCACCCACCCUCCUGCCCCCCACCCCAGCCACCCCAGCCACCCCGCAGCAUGCCCCGCGGGCGAGCCUGGACACCGGCGGAGGUCAGCAGCCUCCUGGCGCUGGUGGAAGGCUCCGGGGAGGCCGCCCUGCUGAUGGCCUCCACGUCGUGGCCCAACGAGGCGCUGUGGCAGGAGAUCUCCCGGGGGCUGGCGGCGGCCGGCUACGGCCGUAGCGUGGCCCAGUGCCGCUCCAAGUGGAAGGCACUGAAGCAGGCUUUCCACUCGGAGCGGGAGACGCGCCGCCGUGCCGGGCGGCACUCGUCACGCUUGCCCCCGCACUACCGCACCAUGAAGAGCAUCUGGAAGGCGGCCGGGCGGCCCGUUUUUGGGGAGAGGCGGCUGCCCGAGCUGGUCAAGCCGCCCCCCAGGAAGCGCAGGUCGCUGGCCGCACGCUCGCCGGCACCGCCAGCUGCUGCAGAGGCCCCCGCCGUGCUGCUGGCACCGCUGCUGCAGUGCCCAAAGGACAAGCCGGAGAGCUCCCGCGGGGACCACGUCGAUGGAGCAUCACCCGACCCCGCGGCCGCCCCACGCACCAGCUGCUGCAUCCCUCCCCAACCCCUCCCGGGCUGCCUGAAAGAGGAGAGCGCCGAGCAGAAGGCAGGUUUUCCUGGUGAGACAUCCCCGGGGAUGGGACGAGGCAACCCAGGCUCCGCGGGGAUGGCCGCAGCGAGCGAGCACGCGGCGGGCGAAGAGUCCUCGGACACCAGCCUGCAAGGUGGGUGCCCCCGACGCCCCGCGGGGCGCACGGUGAGGGGUGGGCUUCCCCCUGACCCCCGCUCUUCGCUGCAGGCGGCGGCGUGGCGGGCUUGCUGCAGAGCGUGCAGCAGCUGCUGGUGCAGAUCCUGCAGACGUCGCGGCAGCAGCAGGCGCUGCUGGAGAGCCUGGCCAGCGACACCGUCUCCCACCUCCACCUCCUCUCCCACAGCCUGGUGCAGGUGGGCGAGACCCUGCACCAGCUCCUGCUCCGGCCGCCAGCCCCCCACGCCCCCCACGCCCCCCUUUUCGAGGGCGACCCCCGGGUCCCGCUGCUCCCCGGGCUCCCCCCUUGCGGCAAGGAGGAGCCCCAGGUGCCCCCCGACGCCGGCUGCGCCCCGCCGUGAGCGCGCGCACCCCUUGCAGCAGAGCCCCCACUACCCACCCCCCCCAAGUUAUUUUAGACGUUUAUAG